CCAAAGGUCGCAGAUUCGAUUCCCACCGUGGCCAGGCUAACUUUUCGGCCUGCCCGGUGUGGAUAUACCCUCAGAGUAACAUCAAAAACAUUUAACAUAACAUCAAAACACACACAAAAAAUAUCGCUAAUCAUUGUGUUGUAAAUGCGUACCUUGAUAGAUUUUUAAAAUUUCCCAGUAGAUAGCAUAUCCCAGACCCUGUAGAUUUGAGUUGUUGGCUAAACAAGUUGGUGACUGAGUUGUGGUAUUUAUAUAAACACACUAUUCAACUAAACUUAACGGAAGAUUCAGUCUAUCUGCAAUAUACAGUCAGUGUAACGCUGUGUAUCCCCCAAAAAAUUAACGUUCUGAAUUCUGAUAACGCACCGAAAUGCAGUCAUAGGGAUGGAAAAAUACGAAACUAGUUUCUACAGAAAGCAGACAUUCUAAUAUUCACUCACAAAUUGCUCCAACGAAGAUCAAGUGACAACUUUCGGAAUUAAUUGAUAAACCUUGGAACAGAAUAUAUCUGUUAAAAGCAAUUUCGAUUAGUCCAAAGAACGAUUUAUCAUUCGUAUACUGCUUUUUAUUUUUGGUCAUAUGUCACAUGCGUUACGAGCCAGUCCUAUAUUUACUCGCAACAAAGAUCGUGAAAUCAAUUACUUUCAAUGAUAUAUUUAUUUUCUUACUUAGUGAAGCGUUGCAUGUCAAUUUUGUCCACGAGAAACGUCACAUGGAUAUUUUGGAAUCAUCUACAAAGUAUUCAAACUCCAGCAUUUUCGUAAGUGCAUAUAUAUUUUAAGUCUAUUUUAAGUAUGCCGGCAAUUUGGAGAUAAGAGUUCUCAGUUAUGUUGGGGACAGGGCUUGGAAGAAGUACCCGGCUUUGGCCAGGCAACACAUCCGGCUAAAUAAUUGUGUACUUUUGGUGUUUGGUAUAAAACUUUCAUACAAAACACCUAAUUUAAAGUCUGCGAGAUAAAUAAUGUCUCGGAGGCAUCGGCAGUGUCAAAAACAGUGUGUGACGUUUCUAAGGGGACGGGGGGCGGGGGGUGAGUGUGUGUGUGGGAGAUGUGUCCAGAGGAACGUCCAUAUGACGUUUCUCGUGGAUAUAAUCGAUGCGUGACGCUUCCCCUAUAUAGCUAUUACUCAAUAAUUAGCGUCUCUGCAAUUUUCCUUAAUAUCUAUAUAUAAUGCUUAAUAUUCGUUCAAACCUAUCUCUUUUCACAAAUGAGCAAGGCUGAGCACAACUCUUCAAUUCAUGACGAUUCUUUAAUAACUUCGUCUUUGUCUUUGAACAUUCCAUUUAAUUCUUUCUUUAACUUAUAAUUUCUUUAUUAUUUGCUUUCUUCGCUGCGAUGCUAUUCAGUCUUUCACCUUAUGAAUAAUGCAUGUAUUGUCUAGUUGUGCUCAGGCUUUUAUAUGCUCUGCUAGGGGAAGAAGCUACAAAACUAUGACUAAUUUCCCCUAUACGCAAUAUAGUUCGUUAAAGCAAGUUUCAGCGAACCACAAAUCGUCCAACGCCACGCCGAGUCAUGUUCGCUACGUUAGUUGUGGGACUACUUCAUCUUUAAAACUAUUUACUUACUCAUGCAUGUAAGCUAUCUUUAAUUAAUAAUGUGAAUUAGCUAUAUAGUAUAAUAAUAGUGAAUAUAUAUGUAAAUUACAUGCCAUAUCAACUAACUAUACGCCCAAUUCAAGACAAUGUUAGACUUGGAGAAAAAUGUCGAAGUAUCCAAAGCAGAGUACGUUAUAAAGAGCUUGAUUUUUUUUACAAUUUUUAACGUAUUUUCCUUUAAUUAAUAGCGAGCUUAAGCAAGCGACGUUUUUGUCAACAUGGACGUCAGAUUGUCGAGAGGAGACUGGAUUAAAAACUGUGUUUGUGUCAGUUUGAGGUAAUCUUCAACACAUACUGUAUGACAAAAGAUUUUUAAACUUUCCUGCUUUCUCACACGAGCGCUAUGAUGCAAAAUAGCGCCAAAAUUAGUUCUACCAAUUUUCAGGUGACGUUCAUGUUGACAAAAACGUCGCUUCAACUCACUAAUACCAAAACGAGACCCACAUAUAGCCAGACUCUCUGACAGGAAUCGACCCUGCGGCCCUAUUUAACCAUACAUCUGACAUUGACACCACUCAAGUGGCACAUGAA
rnacentral:lncRNA from 1 species